rnacentral:lncRNA from 1 species
AUGGCUGGUGUAGAAUUCUUCAUGUUUGGAACUCAGUGAUCAAGAAUCAGGAUUCUCUGAUCAUGAGUUCCACACAUUAUGGGUACCGGGGUCAAGAGUCCCACUGGUUGGGACUUUUCGAUCAGGAUUACAUAUCGAUGAAUUCUGAUGCCCGAUUGCCCAUCGAAUUUGGACUCAGUAUUUAUGAGAGAUUUAAUUAGUGAUUUGAUCACUAAUUAACUCAAU